ensembl:lncRNA
UGAAGAGUUUCUCAAUUUAAUGUAUGAUCUCUGCCUCAACUGUUACUUUGAUCCACAAUCUGGGAAAUAUUAUGAACUGCUCUGAUCCCGAGAUGAGUUACAUCUACAACCAUGUUAUUCAAUACUGCCAUAUACAUGUAUGUUUUAGUUGAAGCAUGUUGUCCUUCAUAACAUUUAAUAAUUUUAAUGGAGAUUUGGGAUUUAAAGUGUUUUUUUUUUUUUUCUAACUGUUUCUGUUUUUUAGUAAUAAAUUUACAUUCAAUCUUGUUUGAGCUCAUAAUAGAAGUAAAUUUUUCAGUAAGUAAGAAAUAAACUCAUAUUGUUGAAUCCAUUUCAGUGUUUAUUAGUCCUCCUAACUUUUUUUAUUCAAACUUAUAAAAUAGUUCCUAGACAAUUAUGUAAAACGUACAAAAAUAAUAGAAUACCUGCUAUAUAAUUAAAUUCGCAGGUUUUAAAUUAAUCUAUUUUUUUUAAAGUGAUCCUUCAGUGUACUGUUGACGGAAGUCUUCGCGUUGCCUCACGAUCGGCCAAUCAUACACCAGUUACUCCUUUACGUCAUUUGACAGGUAGAAUCACUAGGAAGUAAACAUCUAUAAUGGCGAUAAAGUCGUUCAAGUUAAGCCACUCCUCAAAUAUGUUACUAAAUGUGAUUUUAUUUAGUAUUUUUAAUGCGUUCGCCUUUGCCUUUCCGUCAUACCGCGACUCCAGACAGGCAGAAAGUUUGGAGAAACCCACCUCAGCAAUAAAUGUUCAACAGGGUGCAAGACUCCAUUUCGCAGUAAUCGCGUCUGUUGUGAUCGUUAUUGUAGCUGCAGCAGCAGCUGCUGUCUUCAUUAUCCGGAAAUACUGCUGUCCGCAGAGUAAUAUAACAUAUAGAUACUCAGAGCUGCGACAAAUGGAAGCACAAAAUGCAGCCAGAGAAGAGGACAAUGAUUCAGAUGAGGUUAGUAUGCAUGGCACUUUAAAAUUACUAAUAAUAGCCUUAUAUAUACUUAAUUACUUUUUAUUCUUACUCUGGAUGUUCUUUCCACAGGACCUUUUGGAGUGAAUCAUGUAGCAUAAUUUAUCCUUGACGCUUCUCUUCCUUUUUAAUGCUGUGACAUUAUAUGGCCAAAAGCAUCACACGGGUCAUUUAAAAACCACCAGGAGUUUCUGAAAUAUUUAUAUCUGUUCCACCAUUUUUCAGAAUGGAUAUAUCCACCAACCAGUUAAAAUUAGCUUUUUAAAUUUGGCAAGAUUGGAAGGAUGAAAGAUGCUCAUUAGAGAUAAAAGUUACUAUGAUUUACUUGCAGGCAAAUAACUUAUGAAAAGAGCUGUUAUGGUUACUGUACCUGAUGCUUAAAACUUGGUCAAUAUUGGAACUACUUUUUAAAUGCACUCCUUGAAGAACUUGUUUAGUAUUUUCUUGAAUUUCUCAAUGCAAGGCAUGCUGUACCAAAGUCUGUUGAAAUGAUUGUAUUUAUUGUGCCUGACUUUUUCUUGAUUUUAAAACCGCUUUAUGAUCUCAGGGUUGUUCCCACUUGAUACUGUGAACAGUGCCACCGAUACCAGAAGCACAUCUGAAUAAGCAUUUUACUGUAAACCAGUCUUAUCAAUUGCAACGAUGCUGUAGUUUGCACUAGUUUGCAAUAAUCUGCACUCAUAUGCUGGUAAAAGUGAAAAAAAUGUACUAAUGGCAGUGUUUGAUAUCACCUCUAUUUUAAUAUGACAAUGUUGAUGGGGAAUUAUUAUGUGCAGUCCAGAGCUCCAUAAUGGUGUUUCUAUGAGCUCAGUUCAUGCUGGGAAGUAUUUUUGAUGAUGGAAUUAUGUAUCUUUAGAUUUUCAUAUUCUCACCUUCUUAUCUGAGACUGAACUAUACUGACUACUUAAAAAAAAACAGUUUGUGUAACUGAGAAGGAAUAAAAUGAUAUACUUAAUAUUGCUUGUGUGGUUG